AAAGGCAUAAAUAGCUUGUCUUGUCACACAGAGUUGGCUGAAGAUGCCCUACAUAGCAGAAGGCAGGCCCGGGGAGGGAGCUUUCCAGCACCAGGAAAGACGAACAUGUCAGGAGCCAGCAGCCACGGCACAAGACCCAGCUGGGUCCCAGCUGGUUUGCGGGCUGAGGCAAAUGGUGAAAGGACCUGAAGAAGCAGCAAGACUGCCAGAGAAAACACCAGAAGUGUGCCGAGAGCGUGAUGAAGCACAGGAGAAAAGAGCACAGUCAGUGAUGAGUAAGGUUCCUGUUGACACGGAGCCUUUAUUCUGGCCGUUCCUGCCUCCUGUCCCCUGAUUGCAGGAGCACGCACCACACCUCCUCAGGUACGCGGCAGAAACAUCCGGGAACCCAGCCUCUCGCUCCGCCUACAUCCCCAGCACUGGGCCCAGCGCCUGGCGCCAAGAUGGCCCUCAGUCUGGUGUUGAACGUCACGGAGCGGCUUGUUAACUGCACUGGGAACAGAGACUCGCUCCAAGAAGGGUACCUCUGUUACAGUUUCUCUAAAAGGUAGCUCUGUCCACCUCUGCCUUGAGUGGGCAGAGGGCAAAUGUGAGAUGGUAAGAGGAAAGCAAACAACGGCUUUCCAUCUCUUCCCCCCGGCAGUGGGAGACACCUGGGAUUUGAAUUCAGCAGACUUUCCACUUACUAACUGCGUGAUCUUGGGCCGUUUACUUAAGACACCGGAGCCUCACUCGUUUAUUUUCCCCCUAAAAUGUCAGAUUUUCCUUUGCUGCCUCACAAUCAAAGAUAUUGUGACCGUUCAUGAAAUGAAGUCUAUGGAAAUGCUCUAUAAAGAUGUAUAUGAAUCAUAGCCUGUUAUUUGUCAUAAAAUGGUUUCACUUGUGGAUUCAGUGUUGUGGUUCAAAUGGUUAGGCGCCUACUCGGUGCUCAGCUAACGGUCCUCGGUCUUGUGUUAUGGUGUAAAGACGUACAGACUCUAGAUGUGGGAGGAGCCUGUGAAGAACCAUUCACAGAUGGGCGCUCGGCCUGGGAUGUCUCAGCCCCUUUCCUUUCAUCCUGUAGAGUCUAGAGCUAUCAUUCUCAUUUCGCCCGUGUGCCC
rnacentral:lncRNA from 1 species